rnacentral:tRNA from 1 species
GGGGUUGUAGCUCAGUUGGGAGAGCAUCCGCCUUGCAAGCGGGGGGUCGGCGGUUCAAAUCCGCCCUGCUCCACCA